rnacentral:rRNA from 1 species
UACGUAGGGGGCUAGCGUUGUCCGGAUUUAUUGGGCGUAAAGAGCGUGUAGGCGGCCAGGUAGGUCCGUUGUGAAAACUCGAGGCUCAACCUCGAGACGCCGAUGGAAACCAUCUGGCUAGAGUCCGGAAGAGGAGAGUGGAAUUCCCGGUGUAGCGGUGAAAUGCGCAGAUAUCGGGGAAGAACACCCGUGGCUAAGGCGGCUCUCUAGUACGGUACUGACGCUGAGACGCGAAAGCGUGGGGAGCGAACAGG